rnacentral:rRNA from 1 species
AGCAGCCGCGGUAAUUCCAGCUCCAAUAGCGUAUAUUAAAGUUGUUGCGGUUAAAAAGCUCGUAGUUGAAUUUCGGGAUCAAUAUGUCGGUCGUGCCUUCGGUACGUACUGGUAUCAUUGGUUUCUCCUUUCUGACGAACCAUGAUGUCAUUAAUUUGGUGUUAUGGGGAGUUAGGACUGUUACUUUGAAAAAAUUAGAGUGUUUAAAGCAGGCAUUAGCUUGAAUACAUUAGCAUGGAAUAAUGAAAUAGGACGUUCGAUCCUAUUUUGUUGGUUUCUAGGAUCAACGUAAUGAUUAAUAGGGAUAGUUGGGGGCAUUAGUAUUCAAUUGUCAGAGGUGAAAUUCUUGGAUUUAUUGAAGACUAACUACUACGAAAGCAUUUGCCAAGGAUGUUUCAUUAAUCAAGA